rnacentral:rRNA from 1 species
GAUGAACGCUGGCGGCGUGCCUAAUACAUGCAAGUCGAGCGAACGGACGAGAAGCUUGCUUCUCUGAUGUUAGCGGCGGACGGGUGAGUAACACGUGGAUAACCUACCUAUAAGACUGGGAUAACUUCGGGAAACCGGAGCUAAUACCGGAUAAUAUUUUGAACCGCAUGGUUCAAAAGUGAAAGACGGUCUUGCUGUCACUUAUAGAUGGAUCCGCGCUGCAUUAGCUAGUUGGUAAGGUAACGGCUUACCAAGGCAACGAUGCAUAGCCGACCUGAGAGGAGGGUGAGCCAGACGGGAAGUGAGACACGGUCGAGACUGCAACUGGAAGCAACAGAGGGGAAUCUACCACGAAAGGGGAAAGUCAGACAGAGCAUGGCGACGUGAGAGAUGAAGGUAUACGGGUGGUAGACGGCUGUAAGUAGGGAAGAACAUGAGUGAAUGAGAAAGGUGAGAUCUUGACGGAACAUAAGAAGAAUGCAGAGGCUAACUACGUG